CCCAUGAGUUCUCUUUUCCCUUAGUCAAGAAAGUAUCAUUCUGUUAUUGCUUUCUAGUAUAGUAGAAGUUUAAAACCCAUCUAAAUCAUUGGUUUCACGUAGAUUAAGUGAGUACUUGCAUUCUCGGUGCUUUGAUAUCCCUCAGAACUGGUUCGACAAUCUUUUAUACUAUAUCAUUUGUCUUAGGAGCCUUGAAAACUCCUAACAUCAGUAUGUGUACAUGUUUACACUGUUGAAGCUCUUAAUGCACCAAAGUUUCAAUUUUUACUUUUCAUAUCUCACUACUUAUGCACACAAACUACAUAUUUUUCACUUUCUCUCUAUAUUCAUCAAAAAUAAAAUCCAAGAUUUUGAUCCUAAACUUUGUAAGAUUCAAACUCAACAAUCUUGGUCAUUAACAAGUGGAUAUGUUUCGUGGUGAAGUUCUAUGUGAUACGAGAAGCUAAUCAAGUUAUCUCACUGGCUGAAAGUAUGAAGUUGAUUUUGUUUUCCAAAUCUGUUCGUCAGAAGACUUCCGUGGAAGUUUUAUGGUUGUAGAAGACUUAUACAGAAGUCUUCUAGUCAAUACAUAGGUUAGAAUUUUAAAAUCCAAGCAUGUUUAUUAAUAUGAUUUUUAAAUUAUUUAUCGUUGUUUACAGAAUAAAUUUAUCAGAAUUUUAAAAUUAUUUAUAUAAUGUUAUAAAUUAUUUUAAAAAAUAUAAAUUCUACUAUAUAGUGAUUGAGAAGUCACAUAAAUGAUUUUUUAUUACGUGUUGAUCAUAAAUGAACUCUUCAAAUUGUUAUAAUUUGAUUGACCGAUGAUUUUUUAAUUUUAUUUAUUAUAAUUAUAUCUAAAAGGAAAGGAUAAGUCAAUUACCACUUUCCAAAUAAUCUACAUAAUAUUAGAAAUACUUUUUUAUGGUAGCUAAUUGCUGAAACUAAGAAAGAGUAAUAAUGCGAUCAAUUUUUUUUAUAUAUUUAUAAAUUACAUAAAAUGUGAUAUAAUGAUUUUAUAUUCGUAUAAAAAUAAUUAUAUUUGUAUAUCAAGUAUCAUAAUAACUAUUAAUGUCUAAAAAUUCAAUGCAUGCUUUAUAAAUCAUUUAUAAAAUUAUUUAUAUUGGCUUAUCAGAUGUUUUAAAUAAUUAUAAGAGGUUCUAAGUCAUUUAUAGAAGCUUAUACAUUAAUUUAUAAAAUGUAUUUUGAAAAUUUAUCCUCCUAUUACAAUACUUUGAAUUUUUUCAUUUUUAAGGAUAAAAUUCCUCAACUAUGUUUACUUAGUGUAGACACUCCUAAACUAAAUAUUUACUCGUAGGAAUGGUAAUUAUGACCUGUUAGAGUUUAAUUCAUUAAAUAAAGUUAGUUUAUGGAGUUUUUUGUUAAAUAUUUUGUUUGAGGGUUUUUACCCAAAACAAACUUAGUUGAGGGGUUUUAAAGUUAAAAUUUCUUAUUCUUUCCUUAUUAUCUAUUAUUUAAAUCCUUAUAGUGGGAUUUGUUUUAUCAAAAACCAGUUGCAAUAAACUGACGAGAUAUAUUCUUUCCUAAUAUCAUCCAUUUAAUAUUUAAAUAUAUAUAUAUAUAUAGCAAGAUUUGAGUUACCAAAAUUAGGUAUAUAUUACAUCCAGAAUAUCUUUAAAAAUUUAUCAGAAGAUAUUAUAUCUCAUAGCUGAAUUAAAAUUUAUUAGAGGAUAUUCUAUCUCAUAGCUUCUCUUGAAAACUAGGUCAUUUAGAAACUUAAACUAAUUUGCUAUAUAAAUAUCACGCCACCCCUAUUAGUUUCACGCAUCUAUCUUUUAAGUUUUUAUAUGUUUUUGAUCGUUCUAAUUUAAAUUCUACUUUUGUGAUCUUGCGUAGGUGUAUGAUAAUCAAUAAGUAACUCAUAUACGGGAACACCAUUACUGGUAAUUUUAUGGGGGAUUCUUCUUCUCCGUUUAUUUUUAUUCUCUUCCUCUCCAUGUUGUAUCUCUAUCUAUAUUUUGCAUCAGUAGUGAUUCAACUAACAAAAAGAGGCGACUCUGUUUAUCCAGGAACUGAUCAUCCCUUUCGAAAAAGGUAAUUCUUUUUUUUAUUAUGUUAAAUCACUUAUCAAGAAUAUAAUAUAAGAUGUGUAUGCUAAUCAAGUGCAAUUUAUUUAUUGUGUGUGAUCCUCUUUGGUACGUCUGAGAGCCAAAGGUAAUCUCAAAGCUUAUUAAAAACUUUGAAACUCAUUGACGUUGUCCUAUCAAUUAUAUAAUUUGUUAUCUUUUGGGGAUUGUUUACAUCUUUAAAUAUUUUUGUUAGAAUUACCUUUUUUCUGACUCAAGGCUUAGAGAAGAAAACCGUAAAUCAUCUCUGAUGUUACAAUGAAACCAAUGAUAAUAAAUCUCAGGUAAUUCAAAUCUCUCUUUUAUAUUUCAUGACUGAUUUUUUUAUUGGGUUUAUGCGUGAAAUAUUUGUUUUUUCUCAAUUAUAUAUUUCUGAUGUUUUAAGAUUAGUGUUAAAUGUGAUCAUUUGAAGCAUAAUGCAUUCUCAGAACACACCUCCAUGAUAAACACUUCUAUGUAAAUUAUGUUAGUGAUUUUGUAUCUGAGUAUUGUGACUGAUGUUCCAAGAGAGAAAGCGUAUCAUCUCAAACCGAGAUUGUUGGGAAAGGUAUUUGGUUUAUUGAUGUAAUUGGAUAAUUGACAUCUAAAGGAUACAUUUUAUUAGAUAGUACCAAGCAGUCCUUGUAAACCUUUUGAAAACUUUUUGAACUAACAGAAUAAUCAUGCUUAACCUAUAAGGAGUUCAAAGAGUUAUGUAUCUAAAGGAUACGCUUUAUCAGAUAUAAAUGAUAUGUUUUAUUAGAUAGUACCAAGAGUCAUUUUAAACUCAAACAAUGCCAUGUUCUGAGUUGUACACAUUGUAUUGACUUUUUUUUCCUUGCGGUGUGUAUUCAGAUAGCAGUAGUGAAGUGCAGAUAUGAAGUAAUAUCAACCAAAGUUAAGAGAAAGGUCUUUUAAAAGCAGAGAUAAUCACAUGGGCCUCUCUUGAACAUGUUAAACAACCAGCAGUUUUGCAAGACCCGAAUUUCUUAAACAUGUUUUCUACUUUCUUUUUUUCUUUUUAUUUAGUUUCACCUGAUGAGAAGUUUGAAUAACAAACUCUUGACAGUGAACAAAAAAAAAACAAACUCUUAACAUUUUAAAAUUUAUAUUAUUUGUUUGUGUAAUGGUGCAGAGGUUUCAAUGAGACCGGCUUAUAGUUCUUCCAAGAAAGUAUUGGUGAAUGACAAGGUUGAAGCUGAAGUGAAGAAGAAUAGAAGGAUGAUAAGCUUGAAGGAGACGCUGCUUUGAACAAGUUCUUCCGUGAGAUAUAUUUGAAUUCUGAUGAGGAUAUGAGGAGUGCUAGAGCAAAUCAUUUGUGAGUAUCUAUCUAUCUAUAUUCCUAUUUAGUCUUUCUUCUCUCAUGGAGAUUACAAUGUUUUGGCAUUUUGAUUGCCUCUUUUGCAGUUUUGCACAAUCAACAUGUGGAAUCUAAUGGGACAGUGCUUUUAAUAGACUGGAAAGAUGUUGGUGCUAAGAAAAACGAGAGCACUCUUCAUGAUGAUCUGACGCUCAAGACAUGAGAAAUAUGAUCUUAUAUGAUGUGUGGGUUUUACCUUAAUCUAGACAGAACUCGAAGCCUUGGUCUUAAGGUCUGGUUUCUCUACUUUAUGGACUUAAGGUACUUUGUAUUUUUCAUAACUCAUAUUUUUUAUACGAAACACUGAAUUUUUUAAUCUAAACGUUCUAAUGUAUUCUUUGUUCAUAUGAACAUAGUAUAAAUAUCAAUAUGUAACAUCGAAUUUUUCAUAUUAACCACAUACAUGUAACAUAAGUAUCAUAUAGUUGUAAAUAUGUAAUUAUCAAUUUAAUAAUAAUGUUAAUGUAUGCACAUGCGUGCGGGCGGUCCACCUAGUAAACUUAAAAGGAGUUAUAAAACCUACAAUUAAUGUCAUUUUUCUAUGCGACUGAUCUUACAUAGGCCAUAGCAUCGCAAAUCUCAAAUUUGUCUACAAAAUGCAAAAUCUAAUCUCAAAUUUGUCUACAAAAAGAAAAUCUAAUCAUAUUAAUAUUUAUAAUUAUUUUCUAUGUAUAAUACUAACUGAUAGGAUCUCAUUAGUAUGCCAAAAUAGGAGUACAAUAUUCCUUAACAUCAUGCGACCAUACAUGAAAAAUAAAUUGUGCAGAAUUAGCAAUAUGAUCUGCAAAUAAUAAAAAUAUACACAAAGCGACAAUAUGAUCAACAAAUAAUAAAAAUAUACACAAAGCGAAUAAAAAAUGGUAAACCAUUUUUCGGAAAGAAUGUGAAAGCCCCAGAGGCCACACGCUUGAAAAUCUGGUGUAGUACGGAUUUGAACUCGGAUCUGCAACGCACGAAGAUCCACAGAACGCCUUGACCAUCCGACCACAUAUGCGUGGUUAACAAAGCGAAUAAAUCUUCUUCUAUGUGUACCAGGUCGUGAAAAGAUCUAUAGUUGUAACACAUUUUAACGUUUUGUUCUAGUUUAUUUUUAAAAUGAUCCACAUAUCACCAAAUAUAAAUAUACGUUAUAUUGUUAAUUAGUUGAAAAAAUAUUAGAUCCAUCUAAAUUGUCAGGGGUAAAAUAUUAAAGUGUUUAUGGUCUAAUGGCAAUAGAAACUAGUUGAAUUUUUAUGUCUUAAAGUCAAAAUCUUUUAUACAUAACAUUAUUGUUUAAAUUUAAAUUUUAAAAGCUGCCUUUAAACUUUUUAAAAUGAGUUUAGAGUCCAAAAUUUCCAUUUUUAAAAUUUUUUUAGGUGAUUAGUUGAACAUAUAUUUAAAUAUCUAUAGCAAUAAAUUUAUAUCAAAUGAGUUUUAUUUAUCUAUUUGUAAAUUAGUAUACAAUUUUCAGACAUUUCAUUCAUAAAUUACAACAUAUAUAAAUGACUAAGGCACCUUGUGUUGCAAGUUUGGACACGACAAUGAAAGAUACUAUGGGUUUUGUACGAACGUUAGAUUUAUAUAUCUAUAACAAUAAAUUUAUAUCAAAUGAGUUUUAUUUAGAGUUAAUUAGCGUCCAUAUACCCAGAAACAUCUUAUAUUUGCACUGUACCCCUCAUAAAUAAAAAAUAAUUUCAGUUCAAAUUUUGCCUCUAUCAAUUUAAUCCAAUUGUUUUAUGUAAGUGUGUAAGGUGUGUAAGAUAAGUAAGGUGUGUAAGCUUUUUGUUAGAAAAAUGAUUUUUUUUAGCUUUUUCUCAUUAUCUUGUUCUAUUUUUUUCCUUUCCUCUCACAUACACAAUUCUCAUCUGUAUUUUAUUUUUCUAAACUUUACUUUCUAAUUAUUAUUUCAGUUUCUUCCGUUCCAAAUUCAACUCACUUUGUAUUUUAACUAUAUCCAACAUAAACACCAAUCGCUGUGGUAAAACACUAUUUUUAUGUUGGAAUCAAAUCUCCCAAAAUUAUAUUUUAAAAGUGUUGUGCUGGACAGCUAUGGAAACUAGGUCCUCUUUCCAAAGAAUUAUACAUUGUUUCAUACAUGAUCUGUUACUUAAUAAAUUGAUAGAUACAUGCUUUGCGAGUUGAUAUAUUUUUUGAUAAAUUGUUUGUUAUUUGCUAAAUUAUUUUGUUACUUGUUGUUAUCUGAUAAAAUAUUUGUUAUCUGGUAUAUGUUUUGUUACCUGAUAUAUAAUUUUGUAUAAAAAAAUUGAUAGAUGAUUUGUUACUUGGUACAUGUUAUGAUAGCUAAUAUAUAAUUUGUUAUUUUGUACAUGUUAUGUUAGAUCAUAUAUAACACUAUAUUUUAGCGACUAUAAAUUACAUUAGCUGAAACCUUUAUGUGUUGUCGUUGUUGUUAGACUGUUUGGAAGAUUCUCCAAAUAUAUUCUUUUCAUAUGCUCGUGGUUUUUCUAAAUUGAGACUAAUAAAGUGAAUGUGUAAAUAUAAGAUAAAAGUGAAUGUGAAAGUAUAUGAGGAAAGAUAAUAUAAAAAGAAAGAGAGUGGAAGAAUGUGUAAGAGAAAAUAGAAUAUAAAAGAAAAAAUUGGCAAAUUGGGCAAAUCGCAAGUUUGAUAUUAGGGAGUUGGGACACCUCAAGUUUAAAUUAGCAAAUUGGGCAAAUCGCCUUUUCGAGAAGUGUGAAAUGUCGACAGAGGGCGCGCGUGGUUCUUGAUAUUACGACCGUGCCACCGCUUAUUUUUUUAUUUAAAAAAAUCAAAAAAAAGACCUAAUAAAAACAAAAACAAAAUUAAAAAUUAGAAAAACAAAAACAUCCCAUCAAAAUAUACCAGAACCACCUUUAAACAGCUGCAAUUGAGAACCAAACAUAAGAAGAUUCUCACAUAAGAACCACCCUCGACUGAACCCAGAUCGGCAUGGUAUCCCCGUCCAGCGUAACGCCCUCGAGGAGGGUGACUCGUAGUCAAUCCGCCAGUGAUAGAGAAGCAAUUCCCAAGUAAAUUCCCCGAGAAGGCAAAAGUAGAACUCGUUAUGAAGGUAUCUCCUUUCACUAAGCUCCGCUGUGAAAUUCUUUGGGAAAAGUUUUUAAAAAUAAAGCGUUGGGUAAAUGUCUGGAUUUGGUCAUUGUAUUUCAGUAAUGACCACGGAGUCAAAAGUAGACGAACCUGCAUCAACCGACCAAGAAGAAGCUGCAUCCACUGAACAAGACGAAGCUGCAUCCACCGAGCCGGAAUUUAUUGUCACCAGGCCGACUUUCCCGGAAAGACUGUUCGCACGUAAUUGCUAUCCUGCCAAACCUCGACUGAACAUCUAUUCAAAGGCGAGUAUCAUUGGAUCGUUAGUGAAGUUGCUAAGAGGCUCCCCUGAAAUGAAUUGUCUGCUAGGAAGUCAGUUUAGAGCUCUGUUCCACUUACCUGUAGCGCGCUGCUCUAACUCUGCGAAACUUGUACAUUCUCUCCUCAGCCGUCAGCUGGUUACGAUGCGCCUAUAUGAGCUCUGGUUCUUGUUUGCAGACAAGCCACUACAUUUUUCUCUGCGUGAGUUCGGAGACAUCACCGGGCUGAAAUGCGAGCCUGAAAGGGAAAAAGUAGGAAACGGGUCAGAAUCUAUCGAUGCCACACCUGGACGUAUGUGGAAAGAGUUGUUUGAAACUGAAGAUGAAGACGUGACUGUACCAGAUGUUCUUCGUAUGCUUGAACAGCCUAGUCUUCCUGAGUGGAAGCGGUUGCCACUAGCUCUCAUUGCGCUUGUAGAUGGGCUCCUGGUUUGUGGUCACAAACUUCUUCGUGUGACGCCUGCUUACGUCGAGAUGCUGGAAGACACCGGAUCAUUUCUUCAAUAUCCAUGGGGAGAGAGGCAUUCGUCAGCACUCUGUCUAGAUUGACACCACCUCAACCUUCUGAUCCUUCUAAAAUGGAUAAAUCCCUUUCGGUCAUGCGCAUUCGUUUGAAACAGCAGUCAACAGCGUGUUAUGGGUUCCCUCUGGCGCUGCAACUUUUUGCUUUUAAAGCUAUCCCCUCAUUGCUUGAGAAAAUUCCCGAACCUAAUAAAACCACUUCUUUCUUGCAAGAACCAGAAGGAUGCGACUCAACAAAUGCACUUCUGAAUUUUGAAGACAUACUUCUGGUGGAAACCCAAAGAGAGGUACAAUGCUGUUGUCUAUCUUAUUUGCAAAACAGAAGUUAAGACGCUCAAACUUUGUGUACUUAUGAAUGUUUGUGUUCUUUGUUUGAGGUUAUUGUUACGUAUCCAAUCCCAGAUGAAGGUGGGGAUCCAAAGUGGAAGAAAGAAAUAAUCGAUCCCCGAAUAGAUAACUUAGUUCGUCGAAUGCGGGAAGGGCACGAGUUCAAAGCAACAGACUUUAGAGGAGGUGAUUCAUCCCUUCCACCUCUGAAGGCAGCAGAAAAGGCUGAAGGUGUUGGUGUCAAAAAAAAGUGUCAAAAGCCGUUUAGGCGGUUUGGGAAAGCCUGUGAUGAACGUGGAAGUUCGACUCAGGCGCCUGAGCGUCCUAUUCGACCUCGUCGUGGGAUAUGUAAACAGGCUGAACCAGGGAACUUAUCAGAUAAGGAGCAAGAGCUCAAAGAGUGGAUACGAGUUGAACUGAAAACCCAGUUGGGUAAAUUGCGGAACGAGAUUUUUGACUGGUUGCAUCAUGAUAGGGGAGGCUCGUCCACGGUUCCGCAAAACACAGCAGCGGGUAAAACAAACAGAGACAACGGUCACGCUGACCCAACCGGCAUGGAAGUUCCAAAGAAAUGACGUCCGUUCAGUGGUGAUGGUAAUGAUGAAGCUGAAAUAUUUGGGUCUGAUAGUAAGAAACAUAAGAAGAACAACAGCGAUGGGUUUAGCGAUGAGGAGACGAUGAGAAUGCAUGAUAAUCAUUGUGAUGGUCGCACGCCAAAUGCUCGCUUCUGGGAAAAGGUAAUCAAACUGCUCCUACAAUUUGUAAUGAUAAACAAUGCCUGAAUCCCGGUCUAACUUUUUUGAGGAAAAUUCAACGUGUAGGUAGAUUCAAUGGCGGGCGAAGGCCCCUCUUUCUCGAAGUCGGCAAAGAUUCCAGAAGCCGAUGUUUCAACGCCUAUUGGACCAGAAACUGUAUCAAAGCCAGCUAAACCAACUCUCCCGGAACCGUUGGAGGUAAAUAGAUUAUAACAAUGAAUUUAUAGGCUCUAAAUAUAUUAUGUUUGCUGUUCAGCUUGGUUUGGCCAGGUAUUCAGCGUAGAUUAUCAGUUGUUCGUUUUAGCUUGUGAGGUGUACAGGAAUACUGAUUUGUUUGGUCUGGUAUUCAGGUUAAUUUAAGAGGUAUUUUGCUUAAGUAGUCAGGUUUACAGAUCUGUUUGAUAGUUUUUAGGUGAGUUUCAGAGGUAUUCAUCUUAGUUAGUCAAGUGUUCAGCUAAUUUUACCAGGUGUACAGAUUAUGUUGAUUAGGUGUUCGGAUUUUUUUAUCAGGAGUUCAGUUGAGUUUGUCAGGUAUACAUCCAAGUUGUUAGGUGAACAUAUAAACUACAUCUGAAUCGAAGAAUUUGAAUGAGCUAUAUCUGAACGUUGUCAGGGCGAGGGGGAGAUGGGUCUCCAAUAUCAGGGCUAAAUUUGUUAGCAGAAGAGGUUGAAAAGGGGACACGGAGUGACAAUGUGUAUAAAGAUCCACAGGAGAACACUUGUAGGAUGCUUACCGUUUGGUCUCAUCCUGAAUCUUACGUCCUUCCGCCGGAGGAACAAGGUGGUAAAGCGUCACCGACAAAUUCUGAAGAUUACAAGACACCGCCAGAGGAUGAUCCGAUGACUGAAUCUCGCACACCAGACGUUGGGAAUUCGAAGCUGAGUCGAUAUCUGACUAGGUCAUUAAAAAAAGCAGAGCUAGGAGGGAAAUGUAUUCCAAUAAGCUCAACAAAAAAAGAUGACAUCCCGACGAAGCGUAUUCCGAGACGUUCAACAAAGAUUGGAGGAGUGUACACCCCAGACAGGAGACUGAAGAAGCUUUUCCAAAGCUGCAGGAAACCCAAAUAUACGCCCUUAGCAGACUUGGAGAUAGCGCAGUUUCAAGAGUUUCAGUCAAUUCUCCGCGAGAAUCCGGCACAGUAAGUUGUUUGGAUAUACUAUAUAAAAUUCUUGGACUGUCAAAUGUUUAAUAUUGACUUUUGGUUUGUUUUCAAAUUUCAGGGAAUUUGAAAUUGUUAUUGGGAUCCAUGUCUCAAAUAAGUUCUUCCUGUCGUUGGCGAGGCCAACAAAUUGGGUCAGUACCGAGGUAUUCAAAUCAUCAGAACUUAAUUUGGUUUAUUCAAGUUACAACACGGAUUUCAACCGAUUUAAUGUUCUAAUGGUUUGUACAUAUUUUUCAGCACAUUUCUGUGCUAAUUGGUAUGCUAGUAAGGCGACAUGGACGCAAUUACCUGAGUGGGAGGUGCAGAUUUGUAGACUACUUCAGUAUUGCGGGCAUCAUAUCAAAGUUUGCAGAGUUCGAGAAGGCCUCAGAUAAAUUGGGAUUCAACUAGGGAGGGCUUGUCAGUUACAGUUUCACCGGAAAAACGCGGCGUCGGAAUGACAAGAAGGGGUUGUUGGUUGAUGUGGACAGGGUGUACGCCCCAAUGAUGUGGGGAAAAGAUCAUUGGGUUGGUCUUGUGAUUAACUUGACAUGCAGACAAGUGGAGAUUUUGGACUGCAACAUUUCCCAUAAUGAGUCCGAUAAUGAGGUGAACAAGCACAUGGCUUAUCUUCUACGCGCAUUGCCUCAUGUCUUAGCUGCGUUUUCGCCUCCUUCCGAUAGUAGUCAUCCUGAAGAAGACCAAGCAUUUUCAUGGGUGCGUCCAGACAAUAUUUACUUCAACGAAAGAUCUGAUGACUGUGGACCAUGCGCGGUCAAAUUUCUGGAAAUGCAUGCAGCGGGAUACUCCUAUGAGGAUAUGGGGCAGAUCGAUGACAAAAUGGUGGACAUAUUCCGUCAGAAAUACGCGAUGGAUACCUAUGAAGAAUUUAUUGGAAACGCAAAAGUUCAAAACGAUGGUUGAAGACGUGUAUAUUGCCUGCUUCAUUUCGUUUGUUAAACCGAAUUGUUAAACGGUUUUUGUAUCUUUCCAUUUAUCCAGACACUAUAAUUCAAACAGAUCAGUUUAUCUUUGAUGGUUUUACAUCGUCUUUCUUAUAUAGUUAGGAUUUAGGGUUUAGGGUUGCAUGUUUAGGGUAUAGGGUUUAGGGUUUAGUUAUUUGUUUCAAAGGAAAAUAAUUUCAGAAGUAGUUGGUGUUUUUACUGUUUCAUUUAAUAAGUAUUAGUGUAAAAUUUAAAAAUUGAUUGCAAUAACUAUUCCCGUGAGUGUGUUAGGUACAAAAUGUGGGAGGGGACAAUAACUUUCCUAUUAACUCAUAAGAUUCCUUUGUUUAUUUCUUUAUUCUAUAUAUACAUAUUCAAUGCGUGUGAUAAACAUCUCCAACAGAACUCAAUAGUAUGGCAUCUCUAAACAUCUCCAAUCUUCCAGAAGAAAUUUUGUGUAAAAUAAUAGAGAUGGUGGGAGCGGAUUCAUUCUACUAUCUUGGUGGUAUUUUGCGGGCUGGGAAACGCGGUUAUGCACUUGUCCACGAACCCUCCGUCUUAAGGAAGUGUAAUGUUCAGCCAAUGGUCACGUUUGCAACAUGUCAAAUCUGCACUGGUGGUCAGUUUCGGGAGUUUUUCAUCAAGUGCGUAACAGCUGGCAACACAAACGCUAUCUACUAUGAAGGGCUCUAUGCAGCACUGAUGGUAGGUCCUGAGAAAUGUAUUAGAAUAUUGCAACCAAAUGUCCCAAAUCAUGAUUUAUCUACUUUAGCCGUCGGCAUUUUCAACGUGUGUAUUGGCAAUGACAAGGAAGCCAGUAAACUGUUUCAGCAGUUUGCAGCUAAUCACUAUGACCUUCGCUCGGAUGCGAUAGUUGGACUAGGAGCUGAUCUAGAGUGGCGAUUGAUAUCAUUUGGAGCGCCAUACAUGAACAGAUAUGGUGCAUCUUUCAAAUUUUUGGAUGAUGAGGUCAUCAGGUCACCAAGCUGCCUUUAUGGCCAUGAUUACACAGUCGAUUUUGAAGGUUCUUGUAAAAACUGCAGGCUAUUUUGGAUAUGCUGCAACAUUUCUCACAUCCUCUAGGACUUUAUUUAUGUUAUCCUCGAUGUUACCUCUUUUCUAUCGUAUAGCUUAAGUAUUCGUAGACCUUAAGUAUUCGUAUACCUUAAGUAUUCGUCAAUGUUAUCUGUUUUCUCUCGUAUACCUUAAGUAUUUCGUCAAUGUUAUAUGUUUUCUCUCGUAUACCGUAAGUAUUCGUAUACCUUAAGUAUUCUUAUACCGUUUAAUCAAUCAAAAGUGAGUAAAGAUAAAUACUAAUGGAAUUAUGAAUAGAGAUGUCAAUUAGGCUGUCCAUGUCCAAUGGGUAUGUCCAAAUGGACAAAGCAUUUUAUUGGGCAUUAUUUUUCUUAAGUCCUAAUUGACAUUAGCCCAUCUAAUUUGGACUUAAUAGGUUUCAGUCCAAUUGGACAACUUUAAAUUUUGGGCUCUCGUAUACCGUAAGUAUUCGUAUACCUUAAGUAUUCGUAUACUGUCAGUAUUCAAAUACCGUCAGUAUUCGAAUACCGUCAGUAUUCGAAUACCGUCAUUUUUCGAAUACCGUCAGUUUUUGUACACCGAAUCUUAUGUUUUCAUGAUAAUUGUAUGAGUAAAGAAACGAUAAACCGAUGUUGGAGUUUGUCUCCUAGCUUUGAUGGUAUACGUCACUUUCCAAAAUAACAGCUAAUGUUAUACUCGACAACGGAAUUAGAACAAUGCUUAAUGUGGUAAAUGCAUGCCUAAAGUAUUCGUCAAUGUUCUAUGUUUUCUCUCGUAUACCUUAAGUAUUCGUAUACUGUUUAAUCAAUUGGGUUGUCCAUGUCCAAUGGGUAUGUCCAAAUUGUACGUAGUCCAAAUUGUCCAAACCCAAAAUAGAACCAUAAACCAUUCCAUGUCCAAAUGGUUUUAGCCCAUCUAAUUUGGACUUAAUAGGUUUCAGUCCAAUUUCACAACUUUAAAUUUUGUCCCAAAUAUGGACUUAAUAGGUUUCAGUUCUUGGUUAACCCAUGGUCAUUAAGCCCAUUAACGGAUUUCAUGAUUGAUUCGUCAUCAGCCUUAUCCUUUUCACGACGUCUUCUUGCGUCUUCCUCACGGCUUCGAGAACUGAGGUACCGGUUCAAUAAAGUCGUCAUCCUCGUCUUCUCUUACCAGGAUUUCAUGUGUCUGACCACCCGAAACACACUGAGGUACCGGUUCGACAAAGUCGUCAUCCUCGUCUUCUCCAUCCGGAGUUUCAUGUGUCUGACCACCCGAAACACACAUAGGUACCGGUUCGACAAAGUCGUCAUCCUCGUAUACUCCAUUAGAGGUAUCAUGUGUCGGUCUAGACGAAACACAUUGAGGGACCUGCCCAACUAAAUCAUCACUGUCGUCAACUUCCCGAGUAUGCAUGUUGAACGGCUUUGGAGGAGUCUGGAGAACCAACAUUUGGGAGUUGUUGUCCAAACUUGGGUCCUCUUCUUGAUUUGGAUCUGAAUGAUUCUCAGUGUCGGCCACUUGAUCACUUGACUUGACACCUAAAUUGUUACUUGCUUCUUCAAUAUUCUCCAUCGAAAUCCUAGAUGAGCCUAUGUAAUCUCUACCCUCAUCUACGUAAUCUUCGAAAGUUGAUGGUGGGUUUGCGGUACGCUGUUUGUUUGUAGAUGGACCACUGCCUUUGUUUGAAGAAGGAUUAGUUCAUCCACUCCUCGUUUUAGUCACCACCUCACCACGUACACCUCCAUAUGUUACGUUCGUUCGACAACCACCACCUACCCCUCCAUCAUCAUCCUUAUCAUCGUCCCAUUCGCAAUUUCGUCCAACAAAAUCAUGCCAUAAAUUGUAAUCAUAAUCCUCAUCGUCGUCAUCUUCGCCUUCCCCUAACGCAGCAUCUUCAGUCGUGUCCACUUUAUUCUGAACUUCACAUAUAGUUCCAUCCACUUCACGCAUCCCAAAACAAUUUGAGGCAUAAACUGCUUCAAUUUCCGCAACUCCCAUCAGAAUUAUUUCAUCUUCGGUCAAAUCAGUCUCACCGUCAUUAACUUCAUUCCGGGUGUGCACAUCAGCAGACGUACUCCCAACUUGCAUUUCGUUGCUGCUGGCAACUUCUUUGGACUUCAAAAGAUUCCCCAUUGGCCUCAGAUAAAGGAUUUUCCCAUCUACUUCCUCUUUGAAUGUGACAAAUACGUUGAUGUACUUGUCCACCUUACGUGCCGAAGAGAACAAGUCGAAAUCCUUGUCGUUGGAAAUUUGAACAGGAGCUUCUCUUUCACCAACAGCACAAGAUCCGUGUUCACGAAGCCAAUAUGACAUCUCAACGGCAACAGACGUUCCAACUAGACCGUAUGACUCAAGAAUGGCCCGCUUCAAGGCUUCAACAUAAGUUAUCAACUUCGCAUAGACAGCGCUCCCUAUACGGUCGCUAUCAAGUUUAAAAUCCCAGUCACCAGUGCCGUACAUAAUCCACCGUCCAGAGAUUACAACGAUGUAUGAAUCGUGAACACCUACGAAAAAUAGAACAUAAAUUAAUUUAAAAAUUCAAUGUGCUAAUCAGAAGCAAUAAAUAUAGUUUCGUACAAAAAAACACCUGAAUUC